UCCAGUGAUAUACUCUAUAACCUCAACCAGUUUACCCACUUCCACCACUAGAACAACACCUGCAGAGAGAACUGAAACCUCAACCACCACAACAGUGGAGCGCUCAGCUAAAGAGUUCUGGAUGGUGUUCGUAGCUGUGGGCAGUGUUCUUCUGCUGUUAGCGUUAGCGUCUCUUCUCUCAACAAAGUGUUUCCCAAAGAAGAACGCAGAAGAGGAUGAUGUACCGUCUGGAGAUGUCUACACCACGAUUGAAUAUGUCAAUAUUAUAAAAUCCUAAUCAAGUAGAUAACGGAUUUUAAGGAGAUACACUGGAAGCACUGGGCUCAUUUAAACACCUCCUUAUACCUGUGUUUUACUCUCUUUUUUAACUGUUUUAACUGCAGAAAAUGAGAAAUGACUGAAAUAACAAAAAAGAUGCAGAGCUUUCAGACCUCAAAUAAGGCAAAGAAAACAAGUUCAUAUUCAUAAAGUUUUAAGAGUUCAGAAAUAAUCAAUAUUUGGUGGAAUAACCCUGGUUGGUUUUUAAUCAGUUUUUUUCAUGCAUCUUGGCAUCAUGUUCUCCUCCACCAGUCUUACACACUGCUUUUGGAUAACUGUAUGCUGCUUGUGAUCAUCCAUCUUCCUCUUGAUUAUAUUCCAGAGGUUUUUAAAUUGAUAAAAACAAA